rnacentral:rRNA from 1 species
CCCUUAGACGUUCUGGGCCGCACGCGCGCUACACUGACCAGUGCAACAAGCAUCCGUCCUUGGCCGACAGGCUCGGGCAAUCUUUGAACGCUGGUCGUUAUGGGGAUAGACUUUUGCAAUUUUUGGUCUUCAACGAGGAAUUCCUAGUAAACGCAAGUCAUCAACUUGCAUUGAUUACGUCCCUGCCCUUUGUACACACCGCCCGUCGCACCUACCGAUUGAAUGGUCCGGUGAAGCCUCCGGAUUGGCGCGCACCUCGGUGCCGCCGAGAAGUUGGCUAAACCUUACCAUUUAGAGGAAGGUGAAGUCGUAACA